GGCCAUCACAUACUUGCCAAGGUCAAGUGUUAGUCUUAUUUGACCCAACCAGCCUAUUUCACACAGGGGCUAACGCCCAUCAGCUGGGAGUUGCUGUUUCUCACAUCUUUGGCCUAGACUAGAGGUGGCCCCAGCCUGCUAAACCUCAUCUCUCACUGAACAUAACACCAUCUCAUACACGCUAACAUUUUUCAUCAGUAUUAGUGUCACCGCAAAGUGCCAUUAAAAUAGAAGUGGUUUCAUACAUUAUUUUAUCUGCAACGUGGCCACUGAGUCAUUCUUUGCUGGAGAGCUGUCUCCUGGGCAUUUAUAAGCCGGGUAACGAAUCUGCAGUAACGAAUCUGCAGCUCGCUGGGUUCGCGUCCUCUGGUGUACGGCAGAGAGAGUGGAGGAUCUGUGAGCUGUUGGGGCUAAAACAAGUUGCAUCUGUUCUCUCGGGCCUGAGAACAUUAAUUAAGUGCCUGGUUGCAGGUACUCUUCCAUUCUCCCAACAAAAUGUAAUUGCUGGAUCCUGGGGCUAUGGAGCUGAAUAAGGAAGACACAGUUCUGAAUCCCAUGGAUGCCCAGUUGUGAGACUGUGAUUUAUAACAAAUGUAUAUUUCGUCUUCACCCUCAUUUCUGACACUGAGCUCCUAAACCCUUGGAAUUUCC
rnacentral:lncRNA from 1 species